rnacentral:piRNA from 1 species
GGCAUUCUAAGGUCCUCAUUGAUCCCUGC